AUUGAACGCUGGCGGCAGGCCUAACACAUGCAAGUCGAACGAGCGGCGGACGGGUGAGUAAUGUAUGGGGACUGCCCGCUCGAGGGGGGUAAAUACUGGAAACGGUAGCUAAUACCGCAUACUAUCGGAUAACCCAUAUGGGAUUAGCUAGUAGGUGGGGUAAUGGCUCACCUAGGCGACGAUCCCUAGCUGGUCUGAGAGGAUGAUCAGCCACACUGGGACUGAGACACGGCCCAGACUCCUACGGAGGCAGCAGUGGGGAAUAUUGCACAAUGGGCGCAAGCCUGAUGCAGCCAUGCCGCGUGUAUGAAGAAGGCCCUAGGGUUGUAAAGUACUUUCAGUCGGGAGGCGUUACCGACAGAAGAAGCACCGGCUAACUCCGUGCCAGCCGCCGCGGUAAUUC
rnacentral:rRNA from 1 species